rnacentral:rRNA from 1 species
CGGCAGGCCUAACACAUGCAAGUCGAGGGGUAACAGGGAAAAGCUUGCUUUUCCGCUGACGACCGGCGCACGGGUGCGUAACGCGUAUGCAACCUACCUUUUACAGGAGUAUAGCCCAGAGAAAUUUGGAUUAAUCCUCCAUAAUAUCUUAAUCAUGCAUAUGAUAAAGAUUAAAGCUUCGGUGGUAAAAGAUGGGCAUGCGUUUUAUUAGCUAGUAGGUGAGGUAACGGCUCACCUAGGCCACGAUAAAUAGGGGCCCUGAGAGGGGGAUCCCCCACACUGGUACUGAGACACGGACCAGACUCCUACGGGAGGCAGCAGUGAGGAAUAUUGGACAAUGGACGAAAGUCUGAUCCAGCCAUGCCGCGUGCAGGAUGACGGCCCUAUGGGUUGUAAACUGCUUUUAUACAGGAAGAAACACUCCCACGUGUGGGGGCUUGACGGUACUGUACGAAUAAGGAUCGGCUAAC